rnacentral:rRNA from 1 species
AACCGCGAAUGGCUCAUUAAAUCAGUUAUGGUUCCUUGGAUCGUACCUUACUACUUGGAUAACUGUGGCAAUUCUAGAGCUAAUACAUGCAGCAGAGCUCCGACCUUCGGGGACGAGCGCUUUUAUUAGACCAAAACCAAUCGGACCUCGUGUCCGUACGAUGUGGUGACUCUGUAUAACUUUGGGCUGAUCGCACGGGCCUGUCCCGGCGACGUAUCUUUCAAGUGUCUGCCUUAUCAACUGUCGAUGGUAGGUUACGCGCCUACCAUGGUCGUAACGGGUGACGGGGAAUCAGGGUUCGAUUCCGGAGAGGGAGCCUGAGAAACGGCUACCACAUCCAAGGAAGGCAGCAGGCGCGCAAAUUACCCACUCCCAGAACGGGGAGGUAGUGACGAAAAAUAACAAUACGGGACUCUUUUGAGACCCCGUAAUUGGAAUGAGUACACUCUAAAUCCUUUAACGAGGAUCCAUUGGAGGGCAAGUCUGGUGCCAGCAGCUGCGGUAAUUCCAGCUCCAAUAGCGUAUAUUAAAGUUGUUGCGGUUAAAAAGCUCGUAGUUGGAUCUCAGUUCCAGACGGGUGGUCCGCCUACCGGUGGUUACUGCCUGUUCUGAACAGCCAGCCGGUUUCUCUUGAUGAUCUUCACCGGUUGUCUUGGGUGACCGGCAAGUUUACUUUGAAAAAAUUAGAGUGCUCAAAGCAGGCGUGACGCCUGAAUAAUGGUGCAUGGAAUAAUGGAAUAGGACCUCGGUUCUAUUUUGUUGGUUUUCGGAACACGAGGUAAUGAUUAAGAGGGACAGACGGGGGCAUUCGUAUUGCGACGCUAGAGGUGAAAUUCUUGGACCGUCGCAAGACGAACUACUGCGAAAGCAUUUGCCAAGAAUGUUUCCAUUAAUCAAGAACGAAAGUUAGAGGUUCGAAGGCGAUCAGAUACCGCCCUAGUUCUAACCAUAAACGAUGCCAG